UAUUUUAUUGUUAGAGAAUUUCAAAAAAAAAAACUUGCAUUGUGGCUUCUUUAAAUAUUUAUCAGUGAAGACAAUAGUUACAUUUCAAUCAAGGCUUUCGGCCAAUCGACCCCUUCCUUUCUGAAAUUGAAAACAGAGAGAAAGAGAGAGAGAGAGAAUUCGGUAAAGCUCAGUUAAUUUUACCUAAUGUUUGUGGGCGCGACCUUAAAUUAUUCUCGGCGCUUCAACCUGCAGACACGCGGCGUGUUUUGCGCGCUCGGGGAAUCGUUUCGCGAACACAUCAACGAACGAAUUUUUGGAUCGCGGACAGCGUCACGCGAUUGUUCGCGAUCGAGGGAUCAUACAUCGUGCGAUCGCGCACGAGGGACAGCUGCGGCGGAGGAUACAUUCCGCCUGGCGAUUCACGAACGGAGGUAGGCGUCGGACGUGGGCGCGUAAGCCCGUUCGUCGAUUUAAAUAUUUAACUCCGCUUUAAACGCCGGCGGAGAACGGCACGGCCACCACCAGCACCAGCACCGCCAUUAUUCGCGAGGUAAUAAUUCCCGCCGGUUGGGUAAACGCGGCCACGGGAAAAUUAGCCGGUCGUGAAUCAUCCCGGUCGGUACCGGCGAAUCGCCCCCCCUUAAAUUUUUAGCGAUGGCGGCGCGCGAGAAGACGGAGGAAAGUUCCGUGUAUUCGAUGAAUAAUUGAGACUCCGCGUGAAUUCUAUUAAAAAACGGGCGGAAUUCCGAAGAGUUGAAAUUCGAUCGAGCCACGGUCGGCGACAGAGUCGUAUUUCGUCGGACAAAAGUAACGUGACUUUGCGGGGAGGAGGAGCAAGAUUCGAUCGUGGAUGCGCAAAGGUAUUGCACACCAAAAGAAAUUAAUUCCUGAAUUAUCGCAUUGUCGAUUUAUAUUUUUCAGAAGUCUCUCCUAUCACGCUGGACGCACGUUAGACGAACUGAUAUAAUUAAAUCGGUCAUCCAUUCAUAAUAUAUAUAUUAUCACGUAUAUUAAAAAUAACUACUAAUAACCUGAAGAAUCCACGACAGCUCUAUUAUAUCUUUGCUUCGUUGAGUCAUCAGUUUUGUCUAAUGCUUAUCGCGGAGAUAAGCGUGGUAAACUGACGCUUAAAAAAAAUUGCGGUCGUCAUCCACGUCUGAAGGACGAGACUGACCGCUCGAACCUUUCCGAGUUUCACAAUUUUCUCCUAAGAGGCCCUCGUCACGGUUGCCCCGACCUUCCGCAGUUGUCGCCAGGUAGAUGUCGAAUUACGUUCUCACGUAGCUCGGCGGAUAAUUGAAAUUGCACGCGAGCCAAGAAACCGAGUGCCCGACGAGAAGGCCAACAUCGAGCAGAGAGACGACGAAAGGUAGCAGGAAUCGUUUCCACCGUCGCGCGCUGUUGCUGCUGCUGCUACCGCUGAUACUUAAACCACUUGCCAAAGUUCCCCACCAUCGCGGAAACUCAUUCAUGGAUCGCGACCAUUCCGGCUCUUAUUGAGUCGACGACGACGACGACGACAACGUAACGCGCAGAAAUAUCGGUGUGCCGAUACACAUCAGCCGUUUCAAACGACGCAAUCACGGCAGGUUUUAAUCUGAUGGGCUACUUUUACGUGUAUAACAUUUCGAGCACAUAAAAAUAAUUUGCAGCUCGCUGGUAUCACAAGCGAGAGAAGGGAAGUUUCUGAAAGAUAUGAAUCGACAAGAAACGGCUAAUAAAUCAAUAUGCAUUAUGUAGAAAUAAGAAAAGGAUGUGUAAGCUAAAUUUAUGUUAUAUUUAUCUAUAACGUAAUGUAUAUCGUUACAGAUUAAUCAGUUUCUCGGAUGAAUAACUAUUAGCUAGCAGGUAAUAAUUAUGUGUUUAACUUUCAAAUACCGUUAGCAUCUGUUACUCAAACGUGAUCACUUGAGAAAAUAUGCAACUUUUUCCCCAUGGAUUCUAAUUUGCGGCCAGGAAGAGCGCGACGUGAAGAUAUUCUAUUCCUCAUAGAAAAUCACUUCUUCGAGAGUAAGAGAAUACAGGCUAUAAUUAUGUGGCCACUACGUGUGAGUUUCGGGGGAGGCCUUAAGGGCUGGACGGAUCCGCCUUUUAUUUUGACAGUGAGUAUUCUGCUCGCGUGUAAAACCGCGCGACGUCAAGCCGCCGCCGCCGUCGUCGUCUUUCACUUGGAAGGCAUACUCGACUAUUUUAGCCGCGAAAUAACUCAGUCAGAGGGUUCAGUCGGGAGAAUCACGAGGUACAGAGGGAACAAGAAGAGAGAAAGCGAAAGAGAAGUAGAUACAGAAGAUGGAAAGGGAUAGGCUGCGAGCGCGCCAUGAUAUGCGAGUCCUAAAGAUAGAGCACCCGAAACAACCAUGAACCUUUUUAUUUCACCCGCCAACGUGCGUUUCUACAGAGACCUGCACCCCCUCCCCCCACCUUCCCCUUAUAUGUUUGCCGGCGCCUGUUUUCCCUCUUUUUCGCUCUCCCUUCUUUUUUUUGCAAUAAACCCCCCCCCCCCCCCGGGGGGGAUUAUGCUCUUCUCUUGUGCCGGCGUCGUCGUCACGGUGCAUUAUACUAUAAUUCGUCGCAUUUCGUAAUUUCGUCCGCACUCUAUGAGUCCGCGCUCUCCGUUAAUGCCCCCUCUUUCCAGAUGGAGCAAUUAGCGUUACAACUUAACAGCCGGCUCGAACGUGACUUCAAUUACGACCAAGUUGAGAUUAUUCGAUUCCGCUCGCCGAGCGAUACUCAAAGAAGGCCAAUUAUAUGUCGCUAAUUACCGUUCGUUUUACUAACAAAAGCUCGCGUAUCGAUAUGAUCAUUAAUGACGUUCGAUGUGAUUGUAAAUAUGACGCUCGUGUAAAUUCGUCGCGCGAGUAAACAUCUUCCGUCCAUAAAAGUUUGAAAAUACGAUUAAUCUGAUGGCGCGAGGUAAAAGUGCUUUCGUCGAACGAACUUAUUCCCGCACGGACGACUCCGUAGUUUUAUAAGAUUCAUUACAACGGCUACUUUUGUAGAGAGCCCUCUUAAUUACCGCCUGUAGCAAUUAUCGGGUCUCGUAAUCGGGCGAUCGAGAUAUCGACUAACUUUCGUUAACUAUCGCGUUUAAAGGGAUAGUCCAUUAGCCAAGAAAAUUUCUUCAUUUUAAGACCAUAACAUUGUCAAAUUUAUAAUUGCUUUUCAACAAAACCGCAAACAUUGUUUCUCCAUUUGCAUGAAAGUGAUGGAAUUAAUUCCCUUUUCUAAUCUAAUUCCACAAAGUGGAUUUUGUGUGAUACACUCAGACUUUUCUUUAGACAAAAAUAGAACGCAAAAGAAACUUUCCAUUAAAAUGAAUUUUAAAAAAAAUUGAAUUCAAUAAUAAACCUAUUACAUCUGUUUCUUAUUAAUAUUUAUCAAAAUAUUAAUAAAUAUUGAUAAUAAAUUUAUAAUACGCGCAAAAAGAAAAUUGUUAAAAAGUAUAAUAAAAAUCGAUUUACAAAGUAUACAAUUACAUUUUAAUUAUUCAGCCAUGAGAAAAACGAAAAGAGAACUGGUUUAUAUUUAAAGAUAAGGAAAAAACUUUAAAAAGCGUAGACGCGAAUGUUAUUCGUCGUUGUCGAAAAAUGGAUCCUAUCAAGUGGCGGACGUAUUUAUCAUACACGAAAUGGAAUAUGGAGCAACGACGGGGACACGAUAUAAAUGGCAAUCGGCCAGACUGUAUCGAGCGAGAUUGUCAAAGUCGAUUACACAAAGGAUCGCGAUCAUCGUAGACACCGUCAGCAGUUUAUCGAGUAUCGCCACUACGUUAAAAUCCAAUUAGAGACUGUCGUCGGAGUUUACGAAACGGUCGUCGCGCGACGUUAUGAAAACAAGCGGAAGUAGUAAUUAUAGGUAAACCAUAAUCGGAUAUAUUUCAUCGGAUUUAAAGAUUUUCUAAUGUCGAAUAUAAAUGGCUGCGACCGACGACAACGGAGAUGCCAUUAAUCGUUAAUCUACCGCUUGACAUUCCCAUGAAAGCCAAUUACGUCCAGCCUCGGAAUCACGUCGAAGAGAGACCGCUUGUACGAGGAAAAUUACUUUUCACUACGCGAUGCAUAUAGAAUUUAAGUUGAAUAAUAAAGUUAUCAAAAAGUACGCCAUGCUGCGUUCUCUUUUCCUUUUGUUUUUGAAAGAUUCUUAUAUAAAUUUAAUACAUAAUUUAACAUAUAUUUUAAAUGUAAAAUAAUUUUUUUUAAACAUGAUAAUUGUAGUAAAAAAAAUUAUCAAAAUAUAAAUUUCAUUGAAAGUCGUUCAUUGUUGAAUCAAUAAGAAAUUUUUCAACUCGAUUAACAAUGCAAAAUUCAACCGCCCACAAUAAGAAAUUUUCUCAAACGGAUGCGUGCAUUUCAUGCUCACAGUUAGGCUUGAUCACUGUCGUUAUUAUGAAAUAUAGUCGUCGUUAUAUCGCUUGAAUGACGUCACGCAGGUGCGGCCACGAAGGUACCAUGUGCGUUUCACGUUCGCUUUAACAAGUGACUUCAAAACCUAUAAACCCGCGCCACACAGAGAUCGGGCCGCGUUAAGUAACGAUUAUCCUAUCACACCGAUCACCCAGUGGAACAAAAAAUGCAUUCGAUUUGCCGCACUACUAAUUAUAAAUGAAAGUAAUAAUUUGUACGAUCUAUUGCAACGGUAGAUUGACUCGUAUGAACUCCGGGACGCCGGUAUAUUUUUAUCAAAUCUGUAUCUUCUCACUAAUCUUUAUAUAAUCGUAUAUAAUAAUAAAUUAUAAUAUGUAAAAUGUGUAUGAUAUGUAGAAUGUGUAAUUACAUAGUAAUUGUAAUAAGUUAUAUAUAUAAUUAUAUGGCAUCACUUGAUCCAAUGUCGUACUAUAUAUAAUUCCAGAGAUUAUACAGCAUCUUAUGCUUUUGGAAAAAUAGAAACGUCUAUGAAUAAACUGCUGAAUAUUCCAUUCUAUUUCUUUAGGAUAGUUCCCUAACACAAUGGCAAGGAGAUAAAAUAAAACUAAUACCGAAUUUAUCUUGAGAUAAGAGAAGUCAGAAGUCAAUAAAGAUUACAUUUAAAGAACGCGUGAUAUUAUAUUUAUUAUAAUAAAUAAUAACGAAUACGUUCGCGUGAAAAUGAUCGCGCUAGCGGUCAUCGGAUUUUCGUACGACCGAGAGGCGAGUGCUUCUCGACGGCAGUGUACUCGACAGCAACCCGUUACAUCUUACGGCGUAAAGAAUAAGUCUACGGAGCUGCAUCUCACAUCUGUCGUGCUCCCUCCCCUCCCGCCUUCUCCCUUCGUGCUUGCACAGCCACUCUUUCUCCCUUUCUCCGUCAUGCUGCAUCCUACGGAUCACGAGUGAGGAGGCACAAACCGGCCCGCCACACACACAUACACAUCCGUAUGCACACAUAAAUGUACAUACACGUACGUAUAUACGUGCACUUAUGUUGCGUGAACUCAUCGAGAUGGAGCUCUAAGAGAAAGAUAAUAGAACAAAAAGAGCAAAGGGGACAGAGGAAGAAAGAGAGAGAAAGGGAAAGAGACAGAAGAGGGGGCGUCGAUCGAGAAGCUACUUGACUGGUUGACCCCGGGGGAGCCGGGGAGCCCCCUUUAUGUCAAUUUCUCGUUAUACCGCGGCGCUCCUUUCGCAGUGAUGCGGGAAGGAACUGCGCAGCGUCAUGCGGUACUUAGUUACAGGCAACGGAGAUUAAUUUUAACGCGAUAAGAGAAGAGGGGAAUAACGGAUAAUCGUGCGAGAGACGGCAAAUAAUUUUGCCCGAAAACGAUCGAUCGUUGAAGACGACGACAACACCGACGACGACGCCGACGACGCCGACGACGAAGACGACGACGACGACAACGACGACGACGACGUCGACGGCACCGGCGACGACGGCGCGGCCGUAUCGUCUCUUCUCUCCGAGUGAUUUACUUCUUCUUAUUGGAGGCCCGAAGAUAGAUCGUGGAAGCGCGGAAGAGGUCCAGGAUGAGGAAGGGACGGCGGCGGGGGAAACGAAGGAGACAGAAUAAAAUAGAAAGAGACAGGGUGUGUGAUAGAGGGAAAGGGAGCUAUAGAUGCGCCGUCUCUCUGCAUCUUCCUCCUCGUCGCCUUCCUUUGUUCCCACGCCACUCUCCGGACCCUUCUCAUCCCCCUCCCUCCUUCUCCUCCUCCUCCUUCUCCUCCCUCUUCUUCACUCGCGGUCGACCUGGCCCCCUCGCCCUUUCGUGAUUCACCGUUACACACAAAGGGGAGCUCGGACUUUUGGUGUAAGCGGAUGAGAGGGAACGAGAAGCGGAGAGGGCAAGAACGAGAAGAUAAAAAAGAGAGCAGAAAGGCAUCGCGCGCCAUAGUUCCAGGAUGAGCCAGGAUGCUUCGCACAGGUUCUUUCAUGGAAGAAGACGCGGGGCUUGAAAUCGAGAGGCAAGAAUGAAGCUCUCUCGUGCCGUCGUGGUCCUUCAGAGCGUCCUCGAUAUAUACCGGAGCGAACUGAGAGAGCGCGCGCGGAAAGGAGAAGAGCCUUAUAAAAUCGCCAUUCUCCACGCGAAAAACCGAUCCUGGCACAGGAUAAUCGUUCGACAAGUCGAUUAGCGUGGGAGAACGACGAAGUAGGGGACCAUUCGUUCAGUUCUCAAAGACGCAAGGGAGAAAAAUGUGAUACGCGAGUUGUGGAUAUUUCUAAUCCUAAAAUAAGAUCCUCGAGUACAUAAUAUAUAAAAAUAAGCUAUACACAACAUAACAAUACACAAACGCGUUAAAAUUUAUUAUUUUUCUCUAAAAAAAAAAAAAAAAAUUGAAAUAUCUGUAGCGCGAGAUCUCUGCUUCACCCUGAUAAAUAAAGUUUUAACACUUGCGUGUCCAAGAACAAGAUUUUGCCCGAUUACACGAGUUAAUUAUAAAUGCGUGCUUCCGGAGCUCCUCAAUCAUGACAUCGACAAAUUCAUCGCAGCAACAAACAGCGAAAACAAAGGAAGGCAAAGGGGAAAAUGGCGGCUCGUAAGAGGAGAGAAGAAAUCGAGUAAUGCAAGGAGUAAUCGCGCGGAAGGCACGCGAGGGAAAAGUCCGUUUGCAGGACGUGGCCCUUUCGGGCUGCAUUUCCAAGCUACGGAGAGAAUAAAGCGAGACGAUGGUCCCACCGGAUAAAUUGACCGGUAGCCAGGGACAAGGGAUAAGGGACAGCCGCCGACGGGGGAAGGAGGGUAGCGGUGGACGAGAGGUGCGAUCGCAGGGGGAGAGGGACCGCGGCGUCGUCGAAGUGGCGAGGGAGAACCUCGGGGCGGAGAAGAGGAUACCGUUCCGUUCCCUGAGAGUACGCGAACGAUAAUUCGGAGCCGCGCGGGCAGCUCAAAGGACCCGCGGGACGAUAUAUCAAUGCCCUGCUUGCGGAACAAUUUCAACUAUCCGCGAUAUACAAAGAAAAAUACCAAAUCGAAUGCCCGGAAUAGCAGCGAGCGAACCCCCCGUCCGACCCCCUCGUGGCCUUCCUCCGUCGCGCUCUCCUUUAUAGACACUCGAUGCACCCCUUCUUCCCCUCCAUCAUGUUCUCUCUCCCUUUCUCUCUCUCUCUCUCUCUCUCUCUCUCUUUCGGUAGAGACGUUCAUGCUGGACUUGCUGCAAUGCCAAUGGACUACCACGGACUCUCUUCUCGGAUCUCUCGAGAGCAUUCGCUCGUGCUCGCGCGCGCGCGCGUAUAUGUGUGUGUGUGCGUACGUACGACGUGCACGUGUGUGCGAGCGUAAUCGGGAAUCCGGGAGAGAGGACCUACCUAUCGACGGGGAAUAAAUUAACGAGCUGCAGGAAACUCGCAAAUGUUCCGUGGGAAGACUCUUCGAGGGAACGGGCGGCGACGGUGCGGGAGGGAGGGAGCUCGUUUCCGGCGGGCGGAGGAACAAGAAACGCUCCUUCGCGCGGUGUCCCGAAAUGCGAAUUCGAUUGGGCGAAACCGCAAAAACUUUUUAUUCGAGAUUUAUUAUUCAUAGCACAGGCUUUUGAUAAAUGCGCGGUUUCGAGAAAGAAUAAUGAACGCCGUGGAUGAUCGAAAAAGAAGCGGAAAGGGGGCAAAAAGCAUUCCGUUUUAUCUCGUAAAUUACAAUUUCUUUAAAUUACUGAAACAAUUAGACAAACAAGAUUUUUAAUUCGUAGGUUUCGUAUUAACACGUAAAAAAGUAUUAAAAUUAAAUUUCUAAAUGUUACACACGUGUGAAAUAUAUCAUCAAAUUGUUUACUGUAAAAUUCCACUCGAGGAUUAACGGUCGUGCAUUAACAAUAUCGUAACGUGUUACGAGAGAAUCAAUAAUAGAUUUGCAAAAUAAAAUCUUUCGCGCGCGCAAAGUAACAGAUGCGUAGCGUAACGUUUAAUAAAGCGGAACGUCUUACUUAAAUCAUUAAUCAACGGCACGGAUGACGCAGAAUAUAUGAGCGAUCGAGUGGUUCAACAUAUGGACGAGUUUCUUUUUUUUAAUUCAACGAUUGAUCAAUCGCAUCAUGCGCAAAUGCAUCCUUUACAGGGCAAAGUUGCAUUCGCGCACGAUGCAGCUGAUCAACCGACAAACAAAAAGCGACUCGCCUUAUAUGUAAACGCUCCUAGCAACAACACUAAUCGCAUUUAUAAAUAAUUAUUAAUUAAAGGUGUCCAUCUAUAUAUUUAUUUUCGUCUCGGAAGUUUCUUCUCGCGAGGUGUCCUUUUUUUUUUUAUGUAUCAACCAUCUAACUCCUCGGCAAGAAUACAAUUUUCUCAAUGCAUAUUCCGCCUUCCCCGACUUUUCAAUUACGCUCAGAGACCAAAGUUAUCACGUCGGCCCCCGUCACUGCACCGCCGCUCGUCGCCUCGUAUAGCGAACGCGCGACGAUGACGAGCGUCGAGAAGCGGCGAGGCGGCGCGGCUUCACUCACGUCGUAUCUGGCGCACGGCGCGAGCUAUAUGUCAAUCGGUUGAUGGAGCGGCGGUUUGGUUAUAAUUGGAUCAGUUUAGUUAGGUAUUGCAAAUAUUGGCAGCCAGGGAAGCUGCCGACCCAGUGAUGAAACCUAAUUGGGUAAGUCGGUCUGGCUUCGCGCCAAACGAAGCCGGGGGCCGCGCCGCCCGGCUUCGAAUUCUAGAUACCCCGGCAUGAUGUGAUUCGCCUUCCGCCCUGCCGCCGCUUACUCGCUCGUCGGAUCGAAGGCGCGGAAUUGACACGUAAAUACAACGAGUUCGGGGAUUCGUGAAAAUGGAAGUGGACGCGAGAUAGGGAAUUCGUUUCGGAUCGACCGGUUUAAUUGGAGCGUCGUGGCGCGUCCCAUCGCGUCGCGUCGCGUCGCGUUGCGUCGGGACGCGACCACACGCGACGGCGAAAUUGCAAAUCGCGGUGAGGUGAUUCAGUCGGGACAGUCAGUCAGUCAGCCGGCCGAUCGGACGGAUUGUGCGAGCUGCUACUGUUCGCGCUUGAGAAACAAACGUGUUAUUCGCGUUUGGUAAACGAUUACGGACAAGGUUCGACAAUAAACGCGUUGAACUCAGAAUUAAAGAAAAAGAAUUACAUAGUAAAACGUGGUAUUAUACACGCAAUUGAAUGCGUAAAGAGACUUUUUUUCAUUUUUAAGAAGAGAACCUUCUAGCAUUUUAAUCAUUUCAAGUUUGAAUAUUUUUGAGAAACUGUACUAUACAUAUAUUAUUUUUGAAGGUUUGAACGAUAUUCCUGAAUUAAAAAAUUAAGUCAAAAUAUAUAAAUAAAAAAAUGGUGAUCUAAUAUGACAAAUCUAAGAAAUAAAAUAUUAAAUUAUUUAUAAAGUUUAUUGCAAACGUUUUUUCUUCUCGCGUUUAUACACGAAACAAAAUAGAUAAGCAAUUCAGCAAAGCUACAUGCUACAUAAAUUCCACAGCUGUAACUAAAGAGAUUUAAUAUUUUAACAAAGAAAUUAUGUCUCAGGAUAAUUAUCAGUAUAUUCAUUAAACAAAUUCUUUGCUAGAAUAGAAAUUAUUAAUGUAUUAUAAAUUUUCUUCAUUGCAGUAAUAAAAGUACAUAAUACUCCAUUUUAGCUCGUAUGUUUUGUUAAGAAUUUCUGUCCAUUUGAUUAAUUUCCGCAGAAAGCUGUCUUGUAUUGACAAGUACAAUGUACUAUUGUAAUAAAUAUAAUUAACUAUAAUUGCUACUUUUAUUUAGCUGUAAAACUUUACCACUUUAACAUAGAAAUCUAUCUGUAUAUAUUACUAUAGAUCUAUUCACUCAACUAAAGAAUUCUUAGUUUUUGUAACAAAAUUUUAUCCGAGUAUCAAUCAAUAGCAUAUUUUUCAAUAGUUGUCAAAAGUUUUUUUUUCCAUCAUUUUUUAAAAUAAAGUUUGAAAAUUUACGCGCGAUUAUACGCUUUAUAUAAUUUCGCGUUACUAAGCAAUUCACAAAUUGCAAAAUUGCAAAAUCCUUUAUUAUAAAAAAAACAGCGUUAUUAUUAAAAAAAAACAGCUUUAUUAUAAAAAAAAUAGUUUCCGUCAGCGCGAAUAUUUAGUACAUGUUCCGCCUAAUGUUAUAUUUGCAUUUUAUCUAUUGCAUUAUACAAAAUGAUUUACGACGUUAUACGAAGGCUAUCGUAAUUUUUUUACUAUGUUAUGCGAACAUCGCAUUAUACCUAGGUUUAUUAUACAAGUAUGCCUCUAUUUACAACGGAAUUACGUUCCGAGACUUCGGUCAUAAAUCGAAUUGAUCGUAAGUCGAAUAUAGCACACAUUUAGCAUUUAUAUUUCAUAUAAAUAAAACAUUAUUCAUACAAAAUAAUAAUUCCAUUACUGAAGAUGAUUAUAGAAUCGUUAUUCAGGAAAUGACAAAACAAAUUUUUAUAAAGAUUAUAAUUUAAAAGUUUGCUAUUAUAAAAUUAAUAUUUAACUUAACCAAAUAAAUUAACUUCACAAAUGAUUAAAAAAUAAUAUUAUUUCUUAUAAAUGUAACCUUAACAUAAUAUAUAUAUUUAAUAUUAUAAAAUAUUAUAAAUUAAAUCAAUAUUUAAUUUACUUAAUUAAUCAUUGAUAACGAGUGUCUAAUCAGUUUUGUUAUAACCUACAAGUUAAUUUUUAGCUAGUAGACUGCCGAUCGUAAGUCUAAAAAUUCGAAGAUCGAAGUAGUCGUACCGUAAGUAGAGGAUGCCUAUAUAGAGAUACUUAUAUAUUCGAAUAUUCUCACAAACGAAUACUACAAUAAGUGAUAGAAAGCCGUUGCGAUAGUUCAACGCUGACAAACACUUGAACUUGAACUAAUUUCGUAAUUUGUGAAUUUAUUUGAGACAUUGCGGAUUACCUAAAUUAUUGCCGGCUCGGUCAGAGUUUCUCGUUCUCACCCGGUCGCGUGGAAAACACUUGCACCGCCUCUGUUUCCCUCCCUCCCUCGCACGCAAGUACUUUCAAAACAGAUGGACACUUUUUUCGGCGCGGGGUGAAUGAACCGAAGGAAAGCGACGUGUUCUGUCGGGGAUGCACCGUGCAUUGUAAACGAGCCGGGCGACAAGUGUGGCACUCCCGGCAAUAGUGUUGACCUUUCGAUGACGCUAAGCCGCCGCCCCGCCGCAGCCCCGGUGGCGCGGGCUCGUAGCUGCCAUUACACGCUCGGCCGACACAACAUGUGGGCUACGUCGGCCGGUGCAUGCCGGGGAGUAACCUCUCGUUUUCAAAAGCGCGCUAAACACCCGGAUAUUUUGCCGAGUGUUCGAGAGCGUGCAGCCGCGUCUCCCAACGCCCGCCGCGCCGCCGCGCUUUGUCACGCGAUUUGUGCACCUCGCGAUUUUCAUGCUCGCCACAAACGAGCGACGAACGACCGGAUUCAAUCGGAUUUCACAAUUUUGACAACAUACGGUAACAAUUAUCUCUCACUAUCUCUCCGGGCAGCGAGCGAAGCGUUUCGAUUGAACGCGGCGAAAUAGUUUUGAAACGGCUAACGAUUAUAUUUUUAUUCGCGUGGAGCACUUCGCGCCGGCUCUCUGAUGUUCAGCUUACAAAGCCACCCCGGGGUCCUCGAUUCGUACAAAAGUAUAAUUAUACGAGUCAACAAAUCGCGCAAUUGAAGGACGACUCGUGAUUUCGCAUCGCUUUGUUUUCGCUCUGCCAAAGCCAAUGAGCCGAACUCUCGUUCGCCGGUGGAGGAUGCUUUUCGUGCGAGUCAAUUAGAAAGAGGGAACGUUAAAUCGUUCGAUUUUCAACCACUCGAGAAUCGCCGACAUGCGACUCUGUCUACUCAAGGUGAGGCUGAUCUCCUGAAGCCGACAUAGUCUCGCGAUACAAUGUUUAGUUGGCCAACGAGAAACUAUUUUUAAAGCGACGACGGCGCGUUACACAAGCGCGCUUGCGACCGCACGCGCGCGUGCUUGCCUUCCGCGCGCGAAACUUUAUUUUUCCUCACGGCGCGUCGUCAUCUCGGCGUGACGUAUUGUCACGGAGUAACUGGAGUAACGUGUCAGGGGAGGACGGGGACGUUCGCAAACGGCGAGCGGAGGUCAGCUACAAGUUCGAGGUUAAUCGUUCGUUUGGCAAGGCUCGCCUGUUGCCGCGCCGCUCUCUAUGGUCCGCCUACGUUACGUAAGCCGGGGCAUCGAGCGCAAUAAUUUUCGCGCCGUGACGUCGCGUGACUUUUUUCCCCUCUCGUGACAAACGGCGGUGAUGUUGACCGCCGAAAAUAAAGCCCCGAGAGAUACGCAUUUUCGUUUGUCCACUUAACAAAUUCGGAGCUGGCUUCUCCUCUCGACUCGGACUAAAUUUUGCCGAUUUAAAACGCAACGCCGAAACAAAUCCGCUGCUGUGAAUCGAAUCAUAUUUUCUCGAGUUUAAAAUUCAAGUUUCUUUUUUUUUCAAGAAGACAAAAUAAGUAACAAUUAUGGGUCAUUUUAAGUUAAAAUAAUUUUCAUUAAUUCGUGUAAAUUUAAUAAUUUGAAAAGCUGUUAAUGUCAAUGUAAGCAGUAAGUAUUAUAAUUUCAAAGAAAAUUAUUAUGUAUUCAAUAAACAAAUUAUGUAUAAGUCCCAAUUAUAGGUUGGUAUAAUUUAAUGUACUUUUUGUUAAUGUCCUUUUUUAAAUACAUGUUAUUAUAUGUUUAAAUGUAUUAAAUAUAACAUACUUAGGGUAUAAUUUCACAAGGUAACUUAUUUAAAAAUAACUUUUCCCUUUUUUCCCUAAAUUAAGCAAAAUUGUACAAUAAUUACACAAAACAAAUUAAAAAAUGUAACACACUUUUCUGCAAUUUUGUAAAUACACGUACACCCAUGUAAAACAAUUUAAUUUUGCUAAAUUUGAUUCAUAAUUAGGACAGUCAUCUUGAUGUAAAAAAAAGCGUAGGAAAAGGUAGCUAAACCGGAUGUAUCUACGGCCGCGUAUGAAGCUUUAUUUCGACAAGUGUUUGGAGAUGUAGGACGCGUCUUAGCGACGCUCGGGACGGAAGAGGAAUGAACGAGUGACAUGCGUGAAAGGGAUGAUGAGCGCUGUGUAUCGAGCACAUACGUACACACAGAUACACGCAGAUAUUCGUCGUGUAUACAUAUGUAUAGGCUGACGGACGAUCACGUGAACGUGAGGGUCCAACGGCUGAUACGGCCCCGAAAUGAAUAAUUCACGAGGAGCGAGCAAGCGAGCGUGGCCACGCGGCCUCCGUCUUCUCCCCCUCCCCCUCCUCCUUCUCCUCCUCCCGACGACGUCCGGGGCACUCCACACUCCACACCGCGAGAAUGGGACGUGGGCCCGUGCAACCUUUACACGGCUAUUACGCGACACGCCGUUAUUAUUCUUCUCUUCAUGCCAAAAUAUUCGGCAUGUACGGACGUCGAAAGGUAGGAAGAUGACAAUUCCCUACUGAAUUUCGAGAAGUCCGAUUCGUGGAGAGAUGAUUCGCGAUUAAUCCCUCACGCUAAAAUUAUUAAAAGACCAGAAGACGCAUUACAAAUGAAAAAAAUAAUUUAAUUACCAUAGCAGUUUUUACGCUGCUGUAGCAAAAUUUAUUAGUUAUGCGGACAGACAAAGAGAUCGUUUAAAAGUGCUAAUUGUAGCACUGAGAAUAAUUUUUAUUUCACUAGAUUUUUCCACUCGAUUAAAUUUAUUCAAUUAUUAAUACAUAAACUUUAAUUUUAGAAAAAAAUUUCCAAAUCUAUAAAAGAAAUACAUACAAAAUUUUGUUAAUGAUAUGCACAAAUAACUCUAUAUUAUCAAUCUCGAUCAAGUUUGACUAUCAGUUUAGCAUCUCCAUAAAAAGUAUUUUAUGUAUUUAAGUUAAAGAAAUUUAAUCAAGUUGAAAAAUUUAGUCAAAUCAACAACAUUUUUUUCUUAGUGAAUUUACUAGAUAUAGCUUUGCUAAAGCUAUAAAAUUAUUCGACUAUAACAAAUUCAAAUUACGAAUCCUUAACCAGCCAAUCAAAGUGAAUUAUGGAUUUAAGCAUAUAUAAGCUCAUUUGUAUAAGCAGUAGUAAUUUUGCUCAAACAGCAAAAGUAUUGGCUAAGAAUAUAUUGUUUUGCUUUAACAGCAAAUUAAUUCUAAAUGCAAAUAUACUCAGCAAAUUUUUUCUAUUUUUAAAAUAAAAUGGACUGUACUGAGGAAUAAUUUUUAAAAUCAGUUAUGUCAACUAAAUUUUGUCUGCCAUUACAAAUAUGCAAAGACAAUUUUGCUGCAGUAGCAAAAUUUUUUUUUCCAUGUACAAUAUAUAUAUAUAUGUAUAUGUAUGAUGUUUGUUAAUAUUGUUAAUCGUGCACACGUCAAGUAAUCAUAAUUCACAAAUACCGAACAUCGAAGAUUUUAAAAGUUAAAUUCUAAAAGCUUUCGCUCCUCGUCUAUUUUAUCUAAAUACAUCGGCUCUUUGAUCGAUGCUUUCGUUCGGUUAUUGGGGGAAUAUAAAUAAAGUCUAUCCCUCGUAUAACUUACAUGUUAUUUAUUGCCUAUUUUUAUUCCAGUUCAAAGUAAAGCCUUGACUAGAGCAACUCACGUAGAUACUAUGUUGUUGCACUACGCAUUUGAUGCAAAGAUUCUCUCUUUAUUUUCGUACGUAAAUCUCCGAAUCUCGUGCUAAAGAAAAAAAUAAUGCGAAACAUGACAACACGAUAUGACAAAAAUAAAAAAAAAGUUAUUAAACUAUCGUUAUAAUGUACAGAAAGUGCAUAAAUAACGUGGAUUGAGCUUCCUCUUUAAAAUCUGUUUUGGACUUGAUUACUGCCAAUAAAGGCCCUGACGAAAAUGAUAAUAAAGAAUGAACCAUCAGCCACAGGAAAUAUUCAUAACUUGUUUCGCGACGUGAGCUCGCAGUGACAAGUCUAACUGACUCGCCGAUGUUGGAAACGUUUAAUCCGACACCGUCCGUGAACCACCAACGCAGCAAGAUAAGGUAUAGUGAAUGAAGGAACUGCUGGAUCAAUGCCGGUUUGACUGAUGAUGAAGCUAAUACAGAUGGUACCGUGACAAAUCAAGCUACGAGCCAACCAGAGACAGGAGAAACAGACGGAGGAAUAUCGGGGGAAAGGAGGAUACAGAUAGGGUAAGCGAAUGUGCCAUCUUGGUGGGGACAUGACGCACACACUAAUGACUGCUGCGUUAAUCUAAUCUGGUCCGGAGACCAAUAAUAACACGCGAAAAUGACACUCUAUAUUCUAGGGUCCGAUUACGAGUCACUUCUUCUCAGAAGUGCGGAACACCGGAAGAGAAAAUAAAGGAAUCUAAGCACACCCAAGUGGUGAUUAUCUUUAGUGCAAUUGGUGAUGUCUGCAGAUGUUGCAAAGAAAUGAAAACAUAUGCAAAGUCUUCAAAAUUUUACAUUAAAAUGUUUCAAUACACAUUUGCUGAUUAACUCCGAUUUACUUUAUUGAUUUUACCCUACGUUUGUUCUCCUCAUUUAGUUUACUAUCUGUCCUUUUCAAGAUUAAUAUAAAAUCAUGAUAGCAGACAUAUAAAAUUCUGGAUCUGCUUUUAAGAAAUUGCAUGAUCGAAUUGCACUGGAAAACGCAGUUGCCGAUUUCAAAAUUGAUAAAAGGCAGCCGUACGUCGGCGUGGACUUCCGUGUAAGCAAAUAAUACAGUAGCUAGUGGCGGUGUAGCGACAGAAGUAACGGACGGCGAUGGCGAGUAACUCUGCGCCGCGCGUGUAUUUUCACAAUCCGAGUUCGCGCCGAGCGCGCGUACAACGGGGUUGUAAUAGCGCGUAAACCCGCUGAUAUUUCGCCAACGCGGUUAUCAUCGGGGUAAUGGUAAUUAAAGCGUUUCGCAUGCGUCGUAUCCGCGCCAUCAAGUAGAUGACCGUCGUAAUUUCGGGACAGUUACUAUCGCGCCGCGCGCGAUUUUGGUGUCGUUCCAAGCUCGUAGGUGAGCGGCCUUCGUGGAACUCGCGAGCGUACCACGCGUGGACAGGAUUAUCGUUUUCACGGUUAACAAUUCCGAGUAAUUCGCCGUUCGUCCCAUUUCGUAUCAAGAUCAUCGCAACGCUUGCGUUAUCCAUAUUAUAUCUGUUAUCUUCGCGCUUCAUAUAUCGUAUCAGGGUGAAAGCUGUAAGGCAAUAUCGAUGCCCAAACUUUAACAAAGGUUCGUUAAAGAAAAGGAAGAAGAAUCGAAUCGCGUUUGAAACUUUGACCGAAGAUUGUACCGGAGAUAAUGAUAAAAGUAAAAAUUUAAAAAGUUAGACGCGCGUGGUUUUGUUUUACUUCAGUCUUGAUACUUGAAGAAUCUAAAAAUUUAUGCAUCUUAUAAUAAUAAUAUAAAAAAAAAAGUAUCUCUUAAUAUACAUACCUGUAUAUGUGAAAAAAAUGAAUCACUUAAUCUUUAACUGGUACAAUUCGGCGGUAGGAAAAGCGUACAAUUGGGUUACUCGGGCAGACCACAACUACACCACUGUUACAAUAGCACCAUUAAAAUUAAUUAAGUUCUAUUGUUGAAGAGCAGAUUUGCAUCUCUAUUUCUUUCGGUCGACUUUAUUCACGUUUCACCUCAUGUUUUACCUAAUGGUGGGAGACGAUACGACACUAGUUUUGUAUUCCGCUGAAUUUAGAUACUUGAAUAUUCUCUGGAUUAAGAGAAAAAGAACAACUGAUCCCAGGAGUCCUCGUGGUGUCGAUCGGUGAUCGGCGAUCGCGGUACACACAUAACCGAAAAUAGCGCUUAUCGAGAAGCUGAUGUAACAUCCGUGUUUACCGUUGGAAAAUUGCCGAGUAAAGAAACAUUGUUUGCCUUGCAGCAUGAAUAUACCCCCCGAAGUCCUCUUAAUUAACCUUGCGGUUUCCGUAGAAAAGUUUCUGACAUGAGGGCCGCGAACAAUGGUCAUUUAGCAUAUCCGCUUGGCACGCGCGAUAGCAAAUCCAUGGAAAUCCGCGCGCCGGUUCGCGGCGAAUUACUUCUACGGGGCGGGGCAAUUUCGUACGCCGCAAUUAAUAAGGGCUUACCGAGAAACUAUGGAACGCAAAUGCACGCGUAAAAGUAUCAGCGUCAAAUCGCAAACUGGUGGUGGUAGAUCGACGGUGUGCGAUAACGACGUCCGUAACGAACUCUUUACUUUUUGCAAGUCUCUCGCGCGCGCGCGCGCACGCGACAUAAGCGGCAGUUGCAUAAAGUAUUACGUAUACAUAAUUGCCCCAAUGCAUAAAAUAUUACGGUAUUUAUAAUUCGAGCACAGUCACGUCGAUUUCUUCGUACCUUUUCGUCGGAUAAAGAGAGAGAGGGGAGAGAGGGGGGGAGAGAGAGAGAAAGAGAGAGACCGCUACCUGUUACAUUUCCAUCGAGGUCGAAAGUUGAUCGUGCACGGAUAUAUACAUGAGCGCGUGUGUGUACACAACGGCGACCCGACAUGCAGCCCGAUGGAUUAUGCAGCGUGCACUUAGAAAGUUCCCCCUCGUCAGCGCGAUUUUCCUCGAUGAACGGUGGCAACAUGCGCCCGUUUUCUUCCAGCCAGUUCCACGAAGCGCGCGCGUAUACGUCAAAGAAGUCUCGACGUGAACUAACGCCGAUAAAACUUCGAAUUUCAGCAGCGCAAUAAAUCGUGCAACGCAAACACGCAAUUGAAAAUCUCGCGAACGAGACAAAUGUCGAAGAUAAAAAUUUCCCGAAAAAAAAGACCCAUUUAAAGAAUUUCAGAGAUUGAAAUGUUUUUUUUUUCCCCACUCGUUCAAUUUUAUUUAUUUGCACCGGAUUUUUUUGCGCCGCAAUUAAAUUCUAAAUGAUUUCAAAACUGCUGGAAACACCAUCCCCGACGAAUUAUUUACCUCAAGAAUCACUAUUGCCACGGGUAUUAAUCGACAUGGUAUUAAGCCCGUGCAAUCCGCAAUUUGAGAUUCGUGGGCGGAUCUCUCGCCGCUCUCACUGUUCAUUAAAACCGGGGGAAACGACGUCGUAAAUGUGCCCACGAAACGUCGGAAUGACCAGAAUACGCUGCAAUUUCUAUUCGGGCGUGUUAAUGCAAUGUCACCACCGCCAUUCUCACCCUCGCCGACGACGACGAGGACGUUCGAAAGGCGACGACGCCGAUAACAAACGUUGAAAGAAGGAAGGAAAUCUCUUGCACGUGCAAAUAAAAUUUAUAUUUGGAAAAAAGGAAAAGAAAUUAGAUAAAGCGAUUGAAUAAGAGUGAACAAAUAAGAAAGAGAGAGAGAGAGAGAGAGAGAGAGAGGUGAAGUGGAGUGAAGAGAAUCCUCGUAAACACCAGGCCGUAACUGUAAAACCCGUAUCCAUCGCGUUUCGCUUACCUCGAUCAAAUUUCCACGUAGCUCGUGCGAAAACACGUUCGCGAGGCAUUAAUUAAGAUGCGAAACGGUACAUGAACCAAAUUUAAUACAGUUUAUUCUCGCAAUAGAAUGCCCAUAUUAUGUUUCUACUCUACCUGAAUCGCUUAGGAUUCUAUUUCCUUGAACGUUAAAUGAAUAUUGCUCAAUAUUAUUUUUACAGAUUAAUUCGUAUGUACAAGUGGAACAAAUUUAAAGAAUAAACUUAAAUAAAUACUAUGAAAGACAACUGAUUUCUACCGAGAUGAAAUUUAUCAUCACUCGCAAAUGAAGGUUUCGCGCGCGCGGGGGGGAAACGGGGGGGGGGGGAGAACGGAAGCAAGAAUUUUCCGCGCGGAGUUCUGUCAGGUUGAAUAGCGAAUCGUGAAUCUACGUUACUCACGGAGACGAGAUGGAAGGAAGGAAGGAAGGAAAAGAACGGAGGGGAGGGGCGGAAAAAGAAGGCGAAGCAAUUUAAUUUUUCUCCCGCGCGCGCGGAAGAUUCUAUAUCGUGCCGGAGGAAGACGCGACGUGUCGCGGUUUAUUACAUUUUUCCUCUCCUACUCAACGAACUAAUGGACCGCUGGAAAUAGUGCCGAGGCUAUAAGCUCCUAUUCAUCCUUGAAAUAAAAUCAGCACCAUCUCGCCGCGCCGGCUGUGCCGUCUCACACUCUUCGACUCUUGGUUUCCCCUCUGGCAAACGUAACCGGGUAAAAUGCGGCAUAACGUUAAGCAUAGAGCGCAGCGCGUAACGACCUAUUAUGUUUUCGCGCGCGUUUUAUAUGAAAUAUUUCAUGUCUAGGAUCUUCAGCGCUAAUUUCUCGAGAAAUAACUGAAACGACUUCAGUUAUAUACAUUCUUCGCGUUUUUCACUCCGAGCAAAUUUAGAGAUUUCAACGGCGAGGGGCAAGAGCUAAUGAAAAAUGUCUACCGCUUUUUAAAACUUUAAAAAAUUCUCUAUAAUAUUACUCUUUUUUUAUAGACGACGUUCCCACCCGCGCAUGCAACUUUUUAAUAAUUUUCAAAUAACGUGACAUCGCCCACCUAAGAGUGACGCAUAUUGCGAGGAAACAGUUUCACAAUAAAUAAAUAGAAUUUACCAGUUUUAUAAAGAGGUUUAUAAAACUUUACACCAAGUCUGCAGAAGAAAACUCCAACUUUCGAAAUCCCACGACCCGGUCGGUGGCCGUGCGUACUACGCCUAAGAGAAAUUAUCUACGAGACAAGGUGAACGACUAAUAAAAAAGAAAAAAAAAGGGAAGAAAAGUAUGACGACUUCCCGCGCCAAGAUAUUUCCAUGGCGUUCGAUCGGAACGGGUCUCGCAUGCGUGUAUUGUACGCGGCGGCGUAACCGCAAGGCACCUUCACAAUGAGGAACUUGUCGAUCGCCUUGGCUGAAUCGCUGACCUCGCGCCGAUCGAGAUCGCCUCCUAGACCGCCGACCGAUACGACUCAUACGAGAAAUCCAUCCAGGCACGACUUCCUAGCAGAUAUUUCAACUUUCUAGUUAACCGGUCGACCUGCCGAUAUACCCCCGGCGCGGUACGUCUGCGGCACGUUAAAUCACGUCGUCCUAAGCGAGCCGAUAAGAGGUGGCCAUUGUACGCGGUAAGAGUCGUUGUUUAUAUCCUUGCGACCCUGCCCCUCGUGCCUACCGUAACGUAGCCUGCGGCGCGGCGUGCCUGCCGAUCCUCUUAGGCUUUCUAGAAAAUAUCAAGCGAUAAUUAGCCGCAACGGAGGAUAUAGGCGGCGGGAUAUAUCGCUCCCGAGGUCGUCGCGGCGAGAAAUCCGCUAUCGAGCGAGAUUUUUUCACGCUCCCAAGACUUUCUAGUCGAUUGAUCCGCGACGCUUAUCCUUCCGCGCGCAUUAAGCUAUACGCGCUGUUAAAAUUAUUUUCAUCGCGCAAUUUCCAUCCGCGAACGCAAGAGCAACCGUACAAAGGGAAAUUACAGUUCGUCUGUUUUUAAACGCGUUUAAACAUGCUUUGCUUGUGAAUCGAAUGAAAUCGCUAUUUAAAAAAAAAAAAAUAAAAAAAAACUUGUUUCUAUUGUACUUCAAUUAAUUAAAAAUUGUAGUGGAUAACCAUUACGGGCACGAUAAAAUGCGCAGAAUAUUACGUUUGAUGAUAAUACACGGAAAUUUGUAAAAUGGUUCUUAGUAAGAAUCGCUUUCAGUCGACGUUUUUAUCAACAUUGAUUGCCUAUCUGCUAUCAUUUUGCUACUUAUCUCGCCUUCUACGUUAGUCGAGCUUUCUACGUAAGCAAUAUUUGUUAAUCACCGGCUUUCUUUUCCAAACAACAACUUUUUCGCGCCGAAUGACAAUUGAAAUGUUUCGAGUUAUAAAGUCUCUCAGAUUUUGUCCCAAGUUAAAAGUAAGAGCGAUGUAACGGUCCCCUUUCUCUUCUUAUCUGCUCGCUUCUGCAGAGGAAUAAUCCCCGCCGGUUAUUCGACCGGCGAGAGAGAUCAAGCGUCUUUGUUAUCGGAGCUUCGAUCUGGACCAGCGUCUGUCGAUCCAUUCGCUCGUUACUCUCGCGGAGUCGUAAAAAGUAUUCCCGCCGGGUCGAGACGAGGGGCGCCAGCCGCUUACGCGGCGACACGCCUCUCGUAUCGAAAACAAUUAUCGUAACGUAAUAUCGCGUCUAUCAUCGUCGAACGACAAUAAAUCUCGACGCACGCACGCACGCACGCAUACGAGGACCGCAUACUUUCCUUUCUCCACCGCGAGUACAUCUUAACCCCUUGCAAUGGUGCAACUCGUAACCUAUAACGAGUUAUCGAAAACGAAACGCGUUACGUCCGUCACUUUAAUUAAAGAGAAAGCUUUUACUCUAUCCACAUCUUACUUUUGUGUUACGAAAUAAUUAUGUUUUCGAGAGAGAAAUUUCAUUCUUAUCCUUCUUAUUAAAACCACUUGAUGAUAACUUUGUGCAAGCUCUUUACAAAAAAUACUAAUAAUAAAUAUAUGCAGAAUGUUUCUGUACAAUGCAACUAUUUUGUAAAAACGUAAUACUGUUUGUUGGAAAUGUAAAAGUUCGAACGAAAGCUAAACCCCGAUGGAAGGUUAAGGAAAUAAUCUUUUUGUUAUAGUGGCCAUACAUCCCUUAUUGUGAAGGACAGUCCUUCAGGCAAUUGCCCUUUAGAUAUAUUUAUUAUUUUUUUUAAUAAACGAAAUUCUUUUCUAACUAACGUUCCAAUGCCUAAUGUACUAACGAGCGAAUUUUUACGAGGAAACAACCGAGAAAUUUAUUAUUCAUUUAAGGACGGCAUUACUUAUCCAAAAUACACUGUGUGCAAGAAAGUGUUAUAAUUACAAACUAACUUGACAACAUAUCGGAACAGUCUUAGUGAAAUUUUCAGGUUUGUCCUUCAUUUACUCUAAAAAAAUAUAAUCACUGUAUACUUAGUCGAUUUACGCGUGAAUUCACAACAAGACGAUGACAAAUAACCCAGUAACACGGUAUAUACCGAGUAUAACGCAAAAUGGCUAAGCAAGACGUGCCUUUGCCUUGUAAUAUAUCUGAAUUACAGUGUAUCGUGCUGCAAAAUGUGUAACCUUUACUGCACACACAUGGGCAGAUAUGGUGCUGCGUCGUGUGUUAGACAAACUGAGGAGGCAUCAAGCCACCGCGUUGGGGCACAAUAUUAUGCGUUUUACGUAUCUGCAAUUGACAUUACACCGAAGGACACGGCACUAAAGAAGAAAUCGAGCAGCCCGCUCGAUUCCGAACGAGUCCAGAGGACAGGUAGUUACGAAGGGUCGCAUAGCCCAUACCGGGUGACCGAUACGUACGAGCGAAUCGCGUGAUCGCACUUGGGCUGGUAUGCAGACGGACCGCAGUGGCGUGUUGCAUUAUUUUAGAGGGAGAGAAAGGGAAAGAACGCGACGUGCACGGGGCGCAGACAAUCGCGAUGGGAAUCCUGACUGUAUGUAGAAUGUACCCUGCGUGUGCCUGUGCACACGAUAUUCCACGGCGGCGGAGGGGAGCGAAUCCGUCGGUCGACCAGGUGGUAAAGCCACCCCAUGAUUUUCUGGCCCGCACGACUCUCUGCCUUCCCUGGGGACGUGAGUGUGUGUACGUGUGUACGUAAUAAAAGCGGGGAGGGAACGAGAGGGAGGGGGAGAAUGAGUCUCGCACUGUAUACUCGUUCAUACUCACGUACCGUACUCGACACGCGAUCGAAUCGCGCGCGUUUGUUAGCAUUAAACUGCCAGAUAAACGCACGCGUCGCCGAGUGCACCCCUCGUCGCCUCCCCCUCCCCCAUGGAUAUGCAUCGUCGCGUUCGCCACGGUAUCGAUGGCGGUUAUCGAUUAUACCAUUUCGUUGCUUACACAGAAAUUAUCGCCUCUCUCGUCCCGUCUCGACCGUCAGGCUACCAAAGCGAAUUUCUUAUUUCACGUGACUUUAUCGCUGCACGCGGCAUUAUUCCCGGAGCAUUCGGCAGACAUUGCCGUUGACGGUUGUUACCUUUGAUAUUUCCCACUGUAAAUAUUAUAAAUCUCUUAGCCUUCGUGUCUCCACGUGUCUUUUCAAUCGAUCCGCAAAGCCGAUAGGAGAGAACGUAUUUUGCUACGCGUAUAAUGCGAGUACGUUGAUACAAAGGAUGAUCAUUAUUCAUAGCGAGCGGCAAAAAUGAAGGACGACACGUGACUCACGCAUCGCCGAAACCCGCGCGUCGGGCGCGUAAUACACGCCGAUUACGUCUAAUCGAUGAUACUGAUAAACGACGUUAAUCGUUUGAUGCUUGUAAUGUGCGCGUACAUUUGUGUGUGUGCGUGUGCGCACGCGGAAAAAGUUGAAACAACGCGAGGUAGCACUUAUUCGAAAGUUACGAGCAGGACACUUUAAAACGCUACUUUUAUCCUAUUAAAUUUUUAUUUAAAUUCGGUUGUCUGGCUCCACCGGUUUAGAUAUACAUAUAUAUAAAGUAUACAUGUGACCUUUCGCAAAUAGGUCCACGAAUAGCGUCUAGAAUCUAUCGCGCUAAAAUCUGCCGGCACUCGAGAAGACCUGGCGCUUAUUUAAGCCUGUUUUUAAAUAUACAUAUUUUUUAAUAUCGUCACGCGUGUGUUGCUCCAAUCGUAUUUAUGUCGUAUUUUACACAGGCGCUGUAUAAAUUCGCGAUGCAACAUUCUAAAUAUAAAUUAAUGCUACUCACUGCUGUUGUUGUUGCAACUGAUGUUUAUAUAGGCGUUAUAAAGCAUCAUAAAAAUAUGAAAUAUAACGUCAUUAAAUGGAGAGACGUUUGAAUGGAAAAUAGCGUCGUAAUACAACCAUGACAUGUAGCAUCUACCACAUAAUCAUGAAAUAACACGGUAAAAUGCAAAAUUAAAGCUGCCUUGAGCAUGAAGAUUAAAACGGCUAUAACUUCGGUAAUUUUAGUUUCCUCGAGUUUUCUCUUGUACUUAUAAGCACACAAAAAUGCAUCUUACGUUCAUUAAUAGAUUUCGCUUAUCAAGAAUUAAUAGAUUCUUGUUUACAUUUCAAGCAUGAAAAUUUCAUACACGAAUAAAACUUCGUGUAUAACAAUCUUAAACAAUAUUACUCGAAAAUCUAAUUGGCACGUAAAAGUUUUUACUGAACAUGAUAUGUGAAAAAUUAAUUCAUAUUUCGAGCGCCCUACAUAAAUGCGUUUGGUCGGACACGUGCGGUCGUAAAUGCAACGUGCGAUUUAUCCAUGAAGUGCAAACAUUCCGCACGGAAUUGCAGACCCGCGGUGCAUAUCGCGUCGCGCAUAAUGCUACAAUUGUAACGAACCGCAAAUGAAAAGUAUUAAUAUCGCGAGACCGUUUUAAUCUUAUUGGGAGGAAAAGCGCCGGACGAGCGAGCUCAUUUCGUCGACCGGCGAAAGUGUCGUUAACCAAAUAUGCGGCGGCGACGGCGGCGGACAUUUUAAUUCUCUGCCAUGCAAUUGAAAAAAACAUGAGGGCGCACGUGGUACAUGCCGAAAUUCAGAGCGAAUUAAAUUAAUUAUGCGCGGAUUAUUCCCCACAUUCUCGGAAACAGUACACCGGGUCUCGUCGGCGCGAGACGGAAAAUGAGAAACGCGGGAAGUAAGAGGAAGCUGGUAUCAGACAUCUAAAUAACAGAGCAAGUAAUUAUAGACAUUGUACGUUUAAGCUGUACGUUAUCUCUCGGAAUCGUUUUGAUUAACUGAAAUUGACGUGUGUUUGGAAAAAAAAAAAAAAAAACAGCUGCUACACAAAUGCAUACAUUCCACGAUUAUUUCUUUUAAGAAGGAGAGACAGAGAAAACAAACUUUUUCAAAAAUUUUAUGUUGUAUAACGUUGAGCAUUAAAUUCAUUAUCGUAUUAUAGAUAACGUGGGUAAAAAGCGUGUAAUUUAGUCGCGGUUCAACCAUGCGAGAACAAGUCGUACGCGCGCACACCUUUGACGAUAAUUUUAGUUACUUGAGGAUUUGGCACUGUCUACACCAAAUAGAAAACCACGGGGGAUCUGCGCGCGAGCAAAAGAAGCGUAAAAGAGAGGCGAGGCGAGGUAGCGGAAAAGGAGAAAGAAGAGAGCGCAAAGAGAAGUUGCAGAGGGUCGCCGGUACGCGCGCGAUAAUCCAUUUGCUCCUUUCGUAGACCAACGGGACAAGGUGUCCUAUUUAUAUCCGCGAGAAACUCGCGCCUAAUGUGUAGACCGGUAUUGUGCAACUUUCAUCGCUUUCCACGAGAUGUUCCACUGUGCCUGAAUCGUGGAGGAGAAAAAACACGAAGGAAAAUAGAGAUAAUAUCAUGUUAUUAGCGAAGUUAACGUAAAAAAAAGAGUAAUGUCGUGAGAGAUGGAAAAACAAAUAAAUUUCUGCUACAACAGUAAAGCUCCUUUUAGAAUGAUUGUAAUAUGGGUUCUACAAUUUCCAUUCUUCUUAAGGGAUUGUUCUAAUAUAAAAAAGGUUUGCCUAUAAAAAAAAAA